rnacentral:rRNA from 1 species
UACAGAGGGUGCUAGCGUUGUUCGGAAUCAUUGGGCGUAAAGGGCGUGUAGGCGGUUUGUUAAGUCAUGUGUGAAAGCCCCCGGCUCAACCGGGGAACGACGCAUGAAACUGGCAAGCUAGAGUACCGAAGAGGGGGUGGAAUUCCCGGUGUAGCGGUGAAAUGCGUAGAUAGUCGGGAGGAACGACCGGUGGCGAAGGCGGGUCUCUGGGCCGAUACUGACGCUGAGGAGCGAAGCGUGGGGAGCGAACAGG